UACGUAGGGAGCGAGCGUUGUCCGGAAUCAUUGGGCGUAAAGAGCGCGUAGGCGGUCCGGUAAGUCCGCUCUGAAAGUCCGGGGCUCAACCCCGGGAGGCGGGCGGAUACUGUCGGGCUAGAGUCCGGAAGAGGCGAGUGGAAUUCCUGGUGUAGCGAUGAAAUGCGCAGAUAUCAGGAGGAACACCAAUGGCGAAGGCAGCUCGCUGGGACGGUACUGACGCUGAGGCGCGAAAGCGUGGGGAGCAAACAGG
rnacentral:rRNA from 1 species